CACUGUCCUGGAGCUGGCUCUGCAGGUGUGUGGGGCUUGAACCCGGGGCCCUGUGCACUGUAACUUUUCCCUCCCUUUGAUGGGUGGCCCUUAGCUCUGGUGAUUGGCGGAGCCCGGGAUUGAACCUGGAGCCUGUGCCCUCCUGCCGUGCCGUCCCCCAGCCUCAGGACACCCUUUCUUGAAAGGACCGGCCGAAGGUCUCCAUGGGGCCCUGCUGGCGGGCACGGGUGUCCCAGAGAGGGAAACAGCCCCCCUUCUGCAGAGCUGGGCUCCGGUGGGGUCAGGGUCCCGGGUAGGAAGUGCUGCGGGUGCUGGGGGGUGACCCCGGGCAGCCACAUGGCCUCACACCCUGCGCCCCCGAGCCCACCCAGGCUCCCUGCUGAACUGCUUCACUAAUUCUUGUUGAAUUAGUGUGUUUAUUUUAACAAGAGAGGUGGCAUGAUAGAAAAAGGGAGACAGAGGGAGAGAAAGGGGGAGGGAGGAGAGAUCUGGCUGGUGGUGCUGGGAACUGAACCUGAGGCCUCGGAGCCUCGGUCCUUCGCACAACCACUGUGCUGUCUCCCCAUCCUCUCUCAGUCUUGUUCAAGAACUUUUUAAAAAAUACAUUAUUAUUAGACAAGAAUUGAGGGGUGGGGGAGCAGAGACACCUGCAGCCGUCCUGCUUUCUUGCUCAUGAAGCUUCCCCCAUCGGGUGGGGAAGGGGGCUUGAACCCGGGUCCUUGCGCACGGUGCUGUGGCACUGUGCCAGGUGCGCCCCCACCUGGCCCUCUUGCCAGUCUUGGGGGGCACAGAGCUGCUGUCUGUGCUCGUUCAGGCUCGGCCCCGGCUGCGCUGCAGGCACGGUGGUGCUUUGGCGCUCAGUGUUGUCUGCUGUUUGCAGGUGCUGACAGAGACAGACACUACGAGGGAAGGGGCGGGAGAGACAGCUUGCAGGUGCGGACCAGAGGCUCGGACCUGGGUCCUUGCAUAUCCAGCCCUCCCUGGCCGCUAUUCAUUCAUUCAUUCAUUCAUUCAUUCAUUCACUUACUUGUUUGUGUCUUUACUGUCUGGGCUUCACUGUUAGUGGCUAACUUUUUUCAGAUAGAAAGAGAAAAAAAAAAAAAGAGUAGGGCUAGACAGCAUAGUGGUUCUGCAAACAGCUCUGCUGCCUGAGGCUCCGAAGCCCCAGGUUCAGUCCCCAGCACCACCGCCAGCUGCAGCUGAGCAGGGCUCUGGGGAAAGAAAAAGAAAGAGAGGCAAGGCUAGCCCCAGGCCACUGGUCCAGUCUGGUCACGGCCGGGCUUGUCCCUGCCCUGGGUCUAGUGCUGCUUCACCCCAGAGGGCUCCAGCCCAGUCCCUCCUCUGCACCCAGACCACACCCUGGGGCCUCGGGUGUCUCCCGCAGUGCAGCGCCCCGCCCCUUCUUCUGGCCGGGGGACUCCCCGUGGGCAGGGACAGUUUUUUGUGUCUACUGUCUGAUGUGAUAGACUCUUGGGCCGUCAUCCACCCAUGGGGUGUUCUGGUCGGAGCCAGCCGACCAGGAACACUAGUGCCUGGAGAGGGCGCUGAGACUGAGGAAAGAGAGAAGACGGUGCGAGGGGAUUGGGAGGGCCCCAGCCCAAUGACUGAGCGCCCCGAUUUGUUGUCUCACAGUCCUCUUAUAAUGCACAGCAAGAAGCUCAAUCAUGCUGGCUCUGCGUAAGGUCUCUCAAGACAUAAUCCAGGCGCAUAAGCAAAGCACAGCUUCUCAAAACGUGAGCAAGAUCCAGUCGAGGCCAAAGUUCAUGUAGUUAGACCAUGAUCAUUUUCCCAGAGCGUCUGCAAAGUCCUUCUCAUUUUCCCAGCUUUCUCCAAUCAUCCUAGGAGAAAGGUCAGGCGCGCAGAAGGCCUACUUUGCCAGCCUUCUGCCCACGGGCCCAGGGGCCUUGCCUUUCUGGGACCUGCUGCCUCCAACAGGCAGGGUGUUUUAUUUACUUAUCCUGGGGGAUGGGCUGCAUCUCUGUCUCUGUCUCUGGUGCGGGUCUCCAGACGGGCAGCUGUGGAGCUGCCCGUCAUAGCUGAGGUGGCCCAGGGCGGGAGUCGGGCCCCCGGGGGCGUGUGCACACGCCGUGUUCCCUCUCUCCGGGGUGGGGGCCCCUGCUGCGCCCGGGGCGGCUGUCCCAUGAGAAGAGAGCCAGCCAGCUCCCUGCUGCCUGCUCGGUUCCCCUGCUCCUGGCCAAGCUUUCUUCCCGCUGGAGAGAAGAGACACAGGCCGGGUGGUGGUGCACUUGGUAGAGCGCACACAUCACAAUGACAGGGACCUGGGUUCGAGCUCCGUACCCACCUGCGGGGGCCGGGCGGGGGGGGGGGGGGAGCUUUACUAGGAGUGAAGCAGUGCUGCAGGUGUGUCUCUCUCCGUCUACCGUUCCCUUCCCUCUUGAUGUCUGUCUCUGUUGAAUAAGUAGAUAGUAAAGAAAUUAAAAAGUAAAUAAAUAGAGAGCGAGCGAGAGGAGACACAGAGAGAGAGAGACAGCUGCACCACACUCAGCUGCCACGAAGCCUGGUUUUGGUCUUUCUUAGAAUUUAAAAAGGCAGCCUGGGAGUCGGGCGGGGCGCAGCGGGUGAAGCACAGGUGGCGCAAAGCGCAGGGACCGGCGAAAGGAUUCCGGUUCGAGCCCCCGGCUCCCCACCUGCAGGGGCGUCGCUUCCCAGGCGGUGAAGCAGGUCUGCAGGUGUCUGUCUUUCUCUCCCCCUCUCUGUCUUCCCCAUCUCUCUCCAUGUCUCUCAGUCCUGUCCAACAACAACAACAUCAGUAACAACAAUAAAACAAGGGCAACAAAAGGGAAUAAAUAAAUAAAUAAAUAUUUAAAGAAAAAGAAAGAAAUCCUGUUGGGGCAGAGGGUAGAUAGCAUAAUGGUUAUGCAAACAGACUCUCAUGCCUGAGGCUCCAAAGUCCCAGGUUCAAUCCCCUGCACCACCAUAAGCCAGAGCUGAGCAGUGCUCUGGUUAAAAAAAAAAUUUUUUUUUGUUGAAACUCUUGAAAAAAAAAAACUUUUUAUUUUUUUCUGAUAGGACAGAGAAAUUGGGAGGAGGGGGCCAGGCAGUGGCACACCUGGUUAAGCACACAUAGUAAGAACCCACACGAGGAUCUGGGUUCUAGUCCCCACUCCCACCUGCAGGGGAAAGCUUCACAGGUGUGAAGCGGGGCUGCCGGCCUCUCUGUUUCUCUCCAUCUCCCGGCCUCUCGGUUUCUUUCUGUCCAGAGCCUUGUGCCGCCUCCCUGGGUUGCAGCCGACCCACCGCCCCUUUCAGACUCGGUCAUUCAGGGCACCCGUGUCACGGAGCUGCCCUGCCCCUCCUGCCUUCUCAGCACAAAAGUUCCACUGCCAAGUCUGGCAUCCCAUCCCCCCACCCGUCCACCUCUGCCCCCCUUCCCCCUCUUCCCUCAUCCCCCUCUGCCCCUCUGUCCCUUCUCCUUUGUCUCCGGAUCACAGCCCGAGUUCUCUGUGUGCCACAGUUAUGUUGUCUCAGCACUUGCUGAGGACUCUGUGAGGGGGUCCAAGCUGCUGAUGAGACAGUCCUUGCCAAAUGGACAUGAAUGGGAGGCUAUUUCUGGCCUGGCCCGGUCCGGCCCCAUCUGUACACACAGCUGUGGGCGCCAAGUGCCAGCCCUUCAGCUCGGUCCUUUCAGGGCCUGCCCCCCAAUACUCUCAUGAGGGCCCUGCCCCUUGGUCCCUGAGGGUCCAUCACACUGUCCCUGAGGGCCCACACACUAGCCUUGAGGGUCCCCACACUGUUCCCGAGGGUCCACACACUGCCCCCGAGGGUCCACACACGCUGCCCCUGAGGGUCCACACACACUGCCCCUGAGGGUCCCCACACUGCCCCUGAGGGUCCACACACUGUCCCCGAGGGUACCCACACACUGUCCCCAAGGGUCCCCACACUGCCCCUGAGGGUCGCCACACUGCCCCUGAGGGUCCACACACACUGUCCCUGAGGGGGCCCACACACACUGCCCCUGAGGGUCGCCACACUGCCCCUGAGGGCCCACACACUGUCCCCGAGGGUACCCACACACUGUCCCCGAGGGUCCCCACACUGCCCCUGAGGGUCCACACACACUGCCCCUGAGGGCCCACACACACUGCCCCUGAGGGCCCACACACACUGCCCCUGAGGGUCGCCACACUGUCCCUGAGGGCCCACACACACUGCCCCUGAGGGUCCACACACACUGCCCCUGAGGGUCCACACACACUGCCCCUGAGGGCCCACACACUGUCCCCGAGGGUACCCACACACUGUCCCCGAGGGUCCCCACACUGACCCUGAGGGUCGCCACACUGCCCCUGAGGGCCCACACACACUGUCCCUGAGGGCCCACACACACUGCCCCUGAGGGUCCACACACACUGUCCCUGAGGGUCCCCACACUGCCCCUGAGGGCCCACACACACUGUCCCCAGGGUACCCACACACUGUCCCCGAGGGUCCCCACACUGUCCCUGAGGGCCCACACACACUGCCCCUGAGGGCCCACACACACUGCCCCUGAGGGUCCCCACACUGUCCCUGAGGGCCCACACUGCCCCUGAGGGUCCACACACACAGUCCUCAGGGCUGGCCCUCCUUGUCUUCCUUCAGUUUCUCCACCCACCUGCUUGUUACUGUUUGGAGACAAGGUUGAGGUUCUGGUGGGGGAGCUGGGAUCUGAGGCCUGUUGACAUAUAGCAGGUGGGGGGUCAGGUGGGGAGCUGGGGUCUGACUGAGGCCUAUUGAGAUUAGACAGAUCUGGGCUCUGGUGGGGGGCUAGGCGGGAUCCGGUGGCGCUGCACAGAGUGUGCCCCACAUGAGAUGGGCGGUCUCGCCCAGGAGCACGGCCUUCACCCUUCUGAGGGUCUGGGCGCAAUUGUCUGAGGGGAGCCUGGGUCGCGGGCCUCACGCGGGGUGCGGGCCAGCAGGGUGGGCCGUGUGUCCCGAGUGCACCCCUCGGCCCAUUGCCAGUCAGGACUUGUGGCUCUUACCCCCACUGGGGAGGUGGCGACUCCCUGCAGGGCCCGGAGCCCGUGGGGCCGCCCCUGCCGCCGGCUGAGGCUGAGGGUAGGGUCCUUGCCCCGCGGCCCCAGUCAGCGAUCGC